ensembl:snoRNA LOC120101244 small nucleolar RNA SNORA28
AUGCAACACUCUGUGGCAGAUGAACAAAACUGUCUGACACAAUUUGAGCUUGCUAUAGGAAGAAAGUCUGACCUAUUCCGGUGUUCUCUUCCCCGUAAGACAAGCCGUUUUGUAGGCUCAAACAAA